CAAGAUAUUUUCGGCGAAUAUCA
rnacentral:snRNA from 1 species